rnacentral:rRNA from 1 species
UACGUAGGGUGCAAGCGUUAUCCAGGUUUACUGGGCGUAAAGCGCGCGCAGGCGGAUGAUUAAGUCAGCUGUGAAAGCCCCCGGCUCAACUGGGGAGGGUCGGCUGAAACUGGUCAACUUGAGGGCAGCAGAGGAGUGUGGAAUUGCGGGUGUAGUGGUGAAAUGCGUAGAUAUCCGCAGGAACACCGGUGGCGAAGGCGGCACUCUGGGCUGAACCUGACGCUGAGGCGCGAAGGCUAGGGGAGCAAACAG